UGGACCUCGAGUUAGAGACCCUGAUCCAUUUCCAUUGAAAGAUUUUGUUAUUAACGGCAAAUUGGGGUGCUAUACCUUCAAGUGGUGACAGCUGUGAGGAUUGUUCUUGCCAAACACUGGAGAUAUAAACCAGAUGGGAAGGUUGCAGAUGGUGUGGCCAUGGAAUGCUGUAACUGACAUAAAUACAUACUGGAUGACCAUCACCCAAAGUCUGAUCACGUGACUCUGGGGAUGCUGUGAUGAUCGGCUAAUUUGCAAGUGUCUCAAAAAGACAGUCCUUUUUUCUCCCUUCUACCAUAUCACAUGAUCCAGCUUCGAAUUCAAAGCUCCAAACAUCUAUUGUUUCAUCAUAUUUGUUUUACAAUAGAGGGAAUCAUUUCUAUUUUGCAUUUGACAUUGCAAAUGAAACUGAAGAGGAAUGACAAGAAGAAGGACUGCAUACAAACAAGAAGCAGCAGCCACACAAAAUUCAAUACCACCAGGAAAAGAUAAAUAGUCAAAGAAAGAAUUGUUUUUUAAAUAUUCAUCUUCCAGGCACCAGCUACUGAUCUGUAUAGGAUUUCUUUUUUCAAACAUGACCUUUGUGGCGUGGUGCCCAGAUAUUUGCAGGCCUGCUUACUCCAUCUAAUAUAGAUAUCAGUCCAACUGAUUAGAUCUAACAGGACAAAAUUGUUAUUGACUUCACCUUUUCAAGAGAUUUGUGAGGCUGAAGCCAUAACUUGAAGCUUUUCAAUGGCAGUGCCAAUGCUUGGAACAACCUCCCAGAAGAGAUUAAGUUAGUUUACUUAUCAAGCCUUCUUCACUGAUGUUUGGGAAGUUUCCAAAGACGGAUCUUCUCCAAAGAGCCUUCCUUGAUUAUUAUCAUGCCAAUUUCAACUUCCAUUUUUGCUGCUUGUAUUUUUGUACUUUGUGCAGGUUUUUUUAUUCUUAUGGAAUUCAUACAGUGGCCACUUUACUUGGUUUUAUAUAUUAUAGAAGCUGCUGAGAGUCUUUUU